rnacentral:hammerhead_ribozyme from 1 species
AUCCAGCUGACGAGUCCCAGAUGGGAUGAAACGCUCGUUUUUGCAU